rnacentral:rRNA from 1 species
CCUACGGGUGGCUGCAGUGGGGAAUAUUGGACAAUGGGGGGAACCCUGAUCCAGCCAUGCCGCGUGUGUGAAGAAGGCCCUCGGGUUGUAAAGCACUUUCAGUGAGGAAGAACGCCUGGUGGUUAAUACCCAUCAGGAAAGACAUCACUCACAGAAGAAGCACCGGCUAACUCCGUGCCAGCAGCCGCGGUAAUACGGAGGGUGCGAGCGUUAAUCGGAAUUACUGGUCGUAAAGCGCGCGUAGGUGGCUUGAUAAGCCGGUUGUGAAAGCCCCGGGCUCAACCUGGGAACGGCAUCCGGAACUGUCAAGCUAGAGUGCAGGAGAGGAAGGUAGAAUUCCCGGUGUAGCGGUGAAAUGCGUAGAGAUCGGGAGGAAUACCAGUGGCGAAGGCGGCCUUCUGGACUGACACUGACACUGAGGUGCGAAAGCGUGGGUAGCAAACAGGAUUAGAUACCCUAGUAGUC